rnacentral:rRNA from 1 species
UCAUCMWGCUGGCGGCAGACUGGAGCUUCUCCHUGACUGUUWGCGGCGGACGGGUGAGUAACACGUGGGUACCUGCCUGUAAGACUGGGAUAACUCCGGGAAACCGGGGCUAAUACCGGAUGGUUGUUUGAACCGCAUGGUUCAGACAUAARAGGUGGCUUCGGCUACCACUUACAGAUGGACCCGCGGCGCAUUAGCUAGUUGGUGAGGUAACGGCUCACCAAGGCAACGAUGCGUASCGACCUGAGAGGGUGAUCGGCCACACUGGGACUGAGACACGGCCCAGACUYCUACGGGAGGCAGCAGUAGGGAAUYUUCCGCAAUGGACGAAAGUCUKACGGAGCAACGCCGCGUGAGUYAUGAAGGUUUUCGGAUCGUAAAGCUCUKUUGUUAGGGAAGAACAAGUGCCGUUCAAAUAGGGCGGCACCU